rnacentral:rRNA from 1 species
GAUGAACGCUGGCGGCGUGCUUAACACAUGCAAGUCGAACGGGAAACCUUUUAAUGAAGCUUCGGCAGAUUUAGCUGGUUUCUAGUGGCGGACGGGUGAGUAACGCGUGGGUAACCUGCCCUAUACAGGGGGAUAACAACCAGAAAUGGUUGCUAAUACCGCAUAAGCGCACGGGACCGCAUGGUCCAGUGUGAAAAACUCCGGUGGUAUAGGAUGGACCCGCGUUGGAUUAGCUUGUUGGUGGGGUAACGGCCCACCAAGGCGACGAUCCAUAGCCGGCCUGAGAGGGUGAACGGCCACAUUGGGACUGAGACACGGCCCAGACUCCUACGGGAGGCAGCAGUGGGGAAUAUUGCACAAUGGGGGAAACCCUGAUGCAGCGACGCCGCGUGAAGGAAGAAGUAUCUCGGUAUGUAAACUUCUAUCAGCAGGGAAGAUAGUGACGGUACCUGACUAAGAAGCCCCGG